UACGUAGGGUGCGAGCGUUAAUCGGAAUUACUGGGCGUAAAGUGUGCGCAGGCGGCGUCGCAAGUCGAGUGUGAAAGCCCCGGGCUUAACUUGGGAAUUGCGCUCGAAACUAUGAUGCUGGAGUGUGGCAGAGGAAGGUGGAAUUCCACGUGUAGCGGUGAAAUGCGUAGAGAUGUGGAGGGACACCGAUGGCGAAGGCAGCCUUCUGGGCCAACACUGACGCUCAUGCACGAAAGCGUGGGGAGCAAACAGGAUUAGAAACCCGUGUAGU
rnacentral:rRNA from 1 species